rnacentral:lncRNA from 1 species
AAUCACAUCCCAUAAUCUAUGGAAUAUUCUCAUCCCAUAAUCUGUGAAAUAUUCUCAUCCCAUAAUCUGUGAGAUAUCACACAACAAAAAAAUAAACUACUGAAAUCAACCUAAUUCUAGGGAGACUAACUAUUAUAUUCAAACUUUCCUAAUUUAAUCUAUACAUUUGUAAAACACAUUCUUCCACAGUAAUUAACUAAUUAAAUAAUAAAAUAAUAAAAUAAUAAUAUGGUAUUCAACAAGUAGUUACAGUUUAAUCAUCUAGCACAAUCUUGAGCCUUCUUCAUGGAUUUAACUUAUCAAGGUUUCAUUUUUGAACCAUUGGUGUUAGCUUUAAACACAUGGAGUUAGUAAUGAUUAAAUGUUUAACAUGCCUUUUAACCACUUUUGACGUUAAAAUUUGUAUGGCUUGAAGCAGUUAUCUUUGUUGUUCUGCAGCAUCCUCAUCCUCUGUUAUUUUCAUUUGCAUGCGUCAUAAUCAUGUACACUUAUUAGACAUCUUGGUAUCCUUGACUUUGUUUGAAUUCCUAACUGUUAUAAUCUAAAAUCUCUUUGAAAUUUAGGUGAACAGACCAGGAAAGCUUAACAAGGAUUUACCACAAUAUUUUAUCAAUGCUGAGCUAACCUGCUUGGUAGGUUCUGUUUCAAUCAGUUGGAUUCCACUUUUAUUUGUCGCAUCACUGUUCAUUCUAAUGGUUUGUUGUUUGUCUAUUUGUGUUUUAAAAUCUCUUUAGGAUAUGUCUUUAAAUGAAAUUCAGUUGAAACAGAUCUUGAUCCUAUUGGAUUACUUACAUACAAGCCGAUUACGUGAAAAGUAAGCUCCAACACUUAGUGAUGCUUAAUUUUUACUAUCUUUUUGUUUCCACUUUUUGUAUGAUGGUUGCUGUCCUCUUCAUUUCUCUUUGGGAUUGAGCACAUGGUCUUUUUGUGAAAAUGCCUUGCAAAGAGAUCUGGUCUCUAUCAAUCAAGGCAGUGCAGUUGUUUUUUUAUUUUUUAUUGUUGGCUCUGUUUCCUUUCCCUUUAUGUUGGAAGGAUAUUUUGUCCUUUUUUCUUUUGCUUCUUUUUCCUUUCAUUAAAUAAAACAGAUGGAGAGAGAUGUUUUUGAGAUUUGUUUUAAAAAAAGUAAACCAAGGUGUUAAAAAGAAAAUAAAUUAGGUUAAAGGGUAUGAUGCUAAAGAGGAAGAAAAUUAGGGUUUUUUUUAUAAGCUAAAGAGGAAGAAAAUUUGGGUUUUUUUUUUUUAAAAAUAAAAGUGUGGAGUCGUAUUGAUGAUGUAUUUAC